rnacentral:tRNA from 1 species
GGAUAUAGCUUAGUGGUAGAGGGCAUGCCUAGCAUGCACAAGAUCCUGGGUUCAAUCCCCAGUACCUCCA